rnacentral:misc_RNA from 1 species
GUAAUGUGCAUGCCAAGGCCUCGUUUUCGGGGGUUUAUUAUUUUCCUGGUUCGUGAGUGGGGGCAGGUGCUUGUCACAACAAGUUCAAGCAUACCGUCUAAUAAAAGACUGUUUCAUUUUUUGAGGUAAAUGAUAUCAUUAACAGGACCAGGGCAUUGUUUGUUAUACCAAGAAUCACAGUCAAACAGCAGUAUUGUAACAACUGCCAUCUGUGGGGUAACCUGACUGUGAUCAUGUGAACCCUUGCAAAACUCUUUUGCAUUUACCAUUAAUGUAUUGAUAAAUGAAAGAAUUAUGUCAUGAGGAAAUUCAUGUUUUGCUAUAUGCCAUCUACAUGUAUCAUGUUUUUGUCUUAAUUUCAGGCCUAGAUACCCAACUGGCCAACUGUAAAGCAAUUUUUCCAUACACCUCACUGUAAUUCUCAAAAAAAUACAGAUAUAUUUUGUGUUUUCACACACAUAUAGGUUUUUGGUCACACUUUCAAAUUUUCAUACAGAGCUACCUGGUUUUUGUAUGUCAUUUUCACGAUGCUGUCAAUCAUGUACAUUCCUCAUGCCAUCUUACUUUCAGUCAUUUUGCUAACACCCAUUUCUACUCUCUGCAAAGCAGUCCUCUAUAAUUGGAUGGUUACUGCAAUCACUACAAUAACAGUUAUAAAAACAGAAAAAAAUGCUGCAUGCAGUAUUUACCUCUGGUAAAAUACAUCUAGACGAAAACCCACUGAUGCUCGUCUGUAGCAGAGACUGAGAGCUGUAUUUAUGUGUGAAAAUGGCAGUAUAUGUAUAAAAUCACUAUUUAAACAGCCCAUUUAAUAAGUAUCCUGAGUUUGUUUGGGGCUAGUUGACUUCAUUGGUUGGGCAGAGGAUCUUGAUUAGGUCAAUCAUAGCAGCCUAGAAAUAUGUCAUAAAUCUAUAAAUGUCUGUUAAUGUGCUCAUCAGUACAUAGUCCUGCAAUUUAUGGUUUGAGAGGGAAUUAAUGUGAAAAAUAGGAAUGGAAAUGUUUUGGAAAGUCUUUAUUAGGUCAUUUUUGUUUCUGUUUCCUUCAUUAAAAAUAUACGAGGAAUAGUUUGGUGAAUUUUCUUUUAGGACUUGAUCACAGGUUCAGCUUACCUAGCCUGAAAAUAUUCAUAUUGAUAUAUCAGUUGCAUCCAAUUCUUUAAAUCUCUUAUUUGGUUUCAUCAUCAACCAAGUACAGUAAGGUAUGAUGUUGAAUAAUGCAUAACAUUGUAUUUAUGAUAAAUUCCCCCAAGCAGCUAUUGAUCCAAGUUAAGCAAUAUAAAACCCACCAUAGCAUCAAUUGAAUUUCAAGGUAGGCUUCUAUGAUGGAAGUAUUUUUAGAUUUAGUAAUUAUAGCAUUACACUUUUUCAUUACUUGGAUGAUACAAAUAACUUGGCAUUGAAAUAUUUCAUCUCUUUAAAAAGAUUAUCAAAAUUCAAAUGACUUAAA